CCUACGGGAGACUGCAGUGAGGAAUAUUGGUCAAUGGGCUUACGCCUGAACCAGCCAAGUCGCGUGAGGGAAGACUGCCCUAUGGGUUGUAAACCUCUUUUGUCAGGGAGCAAUUUGCGCUACGUGUAGCGUUCUCGAGAGUACCUGCAGAAAAAGCAUCGGCUAACUCCGUGCCAGCAGCCGCGGUAAUACGGAGGAUGCGAGCGUUCUCCGGAUUUAUUGGGUUUAAAGGGUGCGUAGGCGGACUGCCAAGUCAGCGGUAAAAUGGCGGGGCUCAACCUCGCUCCGCCGUUGAAACUGGCGGUCUUGAGUGGGCGAGAAGAAGGCGGAAUGCGUGGUGUAGCGGUGAAAUGCAUAGAUAUCACGCAGAACUCCGAUUGCGAAGGCAGCAUACCGGCGCCCAACUGACGCUGAGGCACGAAAGCGUGGGUAUCGAACAGGAUUAGAUACCCUGGUAGUC
rnacentral:rRNA from 1 species